GCGGCGGGGGCCGGUCGCGGGGCGCACCUGGCUGCCCGGGGACGGGCAGCCCUGCUGCUCCCGGCCGCGGGAAUCUGGGGCGGGAGCCUGGGUACCAGGGACAAAGCGCCGCGCUCUCCGGGCCUGGGCGGCCUCUGCCGCAGGGGGAGGCGGGCUGAGUCGGGCCGGUGCGCGGCAAGCCGGGGCGGCCGCCGGGAUGGGAUGGGGCAGGGAGCGGCCGCCUCACGGGGACAACAAAGGGCGCCAUUGCUGGGCACGGGCCCGGGAGGCCACGCACGCUGAGAUCCCCGGGGGCGGGUGCCCGGGCGGACCGUGACCAGCUCCCUCCUGCACUGCAACCCCGGGAAGCCGGCGGAGGGGGAAGUGGAGGCCUCGAGACAGAGCGAUGCCUCCACCCGUCUCGGGUACCAGCCUGCAAGGGAGAGAUGGACAAGCCCUGCUCGAGGCUACCGCGAGUGGAAGGAAGGGGCUGGUGGCAGGUUCUGCGCAUGGGCCCGGCCUGCCUGCCCAGAGCCACGGCUUGCAUCCCACGGGGAACUGCCUCCCCCUCCGCCCAAGAUUUCCCCUAUGAUCUUGGGCAGGUCAUUUAAUAUACCCCUUGCCUCAGUUUCCCAUGUGUAAAAUGGGGAUAAUUGCACUUCCCUACCAGAGGAGACAGAUACACUCAUUAUUGCAAGAUAGAUGCGCAGAUCCUAAAGUGAUGGAUCUAAGAUAUAAUAACAGGGGGAGGUGGGGGACAGGGACAGGUGUUUCUACUUCACUUUGUCAAAGUUAAUUUUUUCAGAAAUUCAGAUCUUUAUCUUCUGAGAUGAAGUGCACAAACAUAGUGCAGAACCGGAUGAAGUUUCUGAUCUAAAUAUUUAUUUUUCAUUUUCUGAUUUAAAGAAAACAUUCACAGAAAAAUUCUUGAAAAAACAUUAAAAUGAGUGCAUAAACAUUUGGCUUUGCCUGCAAAGCCUAAACGACUGUUUAUCUGCAAAACGGUUUCAGUUUCUGUUCUAGUAGCAGCCAGAGGUUCUGAAUAAUAAUCCUAUUGUUCAUUUAUUGCGCUGAGAUACAUGAGUUGCCCCAUAAUAAUUAUGUCUUAAAAUCCCUUUCCUCUAGAUAGUAAAUGGCUGGUCUUGGGUAACAGUCCAUUAUCUUGAGUUGCAUCUCAAUUUUUUCUUUUUCACUUGGGCAUAUUACUGUUCAACUGAAAGGAGGUGGGGAGAAAAUAAAAAAGCAAAGAAUAGAAACGUUCCAAUGAAGAUUAGAUCUUAUUUAGUAAAACCAAUGCUCAGAGUCUCGAUUGUAUGUCAGUAGUAGUUGAUGGGUAGCAAAAUGUGAAAACCCCAUUGACCACCUUGAAAAUCCUAGGAAGAAACAGUUUUACCUUGUAUUAAAGAAUCAAGGUAAGUAUACGAGCUGCUGGGGAACUACUAAUGAUUGUAGCUAAAUGCCCAGUAUUUAUUGCCCAGGUUAUUUGUACCCAUUGCAUCAGAUAAGCAGAAGUAGCAGCAAGUAGUCCUGAUGAACUGAAUUCCAAACACAGGCCUGGAUGAGAGAGGAGAGGCAGGAAGGGAAUGAAAAUAGUGGGUCUUGUGGCAUCUUGAGAUGAAAAAGGCCACCACUGACUAUAUAGCCUCUCUCCGGGCUCUCAGGAUUUAUCUAACAGCAGCUUCUUUGCUAAUAAAAGCGCAAGCAGAAAGUGUCAGCAAUCCAUGUUCUAGCACUUUUCUGCUUAGUGUGAAGAUAAAACUAAAGUCAAUUCUACAGCCUCAUUUACCUGUUUAUCAUUCCACUACAGAAAUAACUUAGAGUUUAAAGUUUGAAAGCUGCUUAUUACAGAAAAAUGUUUAUUUGUACUUAGAACGUUUUUGCUGAGUUGCUUUGAGAAAAGACUGGAGGCCAGUUGCAAUGUUAUGGGCAUUGACACAUUUUCAAUAAAAUACUCAUGUAUCAAA